rnacentral:lncRNA from 1 species
CUAAACUGCAAAACACAUAUAGCCCAAAGGUUUUAGAUAGGAGGCUGUGGGGCUGCACUGAGAGUCUGCUGCUGCAGUUAAACUCCUGCCUGCUCUUUGAACCACUGAUGAGUUGGACUUGCAGGACCCCAGGGGCUGUGUUCUGAUCAGUGAGUGGGGUCUGGAAAUAGUUUGAAACAGACAUUUCUGGUGUUCAGUUUGAAUGCAGCUCCUGCUGCCCCUGAGACGUUUGCCUCCUGUCGCAGCCUAAUUAUCCAGUGUUCACAGUGUCUGCCUCAUUUGCCUUUGCCUGGGUUUCUCAUUCUCACUGCAUUUCCCUUCUAGGCCUGAAUUUUAACCCUACUUUGCAAAUCUGCUUUCCUGAGUUUUGUUUCUAUCAACCCCUUUCUCCCGGACUGCACCUGGCUUCCUAUAUCACUUACAUCGACUCUGCUCAGCAUGCAGAUCUGUGACUCAGGGCUCAAGUUUCCGCCCUGGCCUGUCUCAGGCCUGUGUUGUGUUCUCUCUGACACUCAGAUCCUGAGAGUUGGAUACAGGGUCUUCCGUGGAGAGCUUCUCGGUGUGGAUUCUCAUCAUCAUUAGAGUUGCUGAGGGCAUAUGUUUUGGACUUUUCUUGCCUGAUUUGUGAGAUUCUGCUGACAUCCAGGAAAGUGCUGCAAAAAAAACCUGUUGCUCAUAUCCAAGCUUAUGUGUUUCGUGGCAGAGCCACGAGCACUGAGCUCAAGUUUCUUGACAACAAGUCUUAUUUAUGGAGAAACAAACAUAGGCGGUAUUUCGUGGGACCAUGCUGUUCUCUUUCUUUGGAGCUUAGAAUUGAAGAAAACGUAUGGAUGUGAGAGUUGGACUGUGAAGAAGGCUGAGCACCGAAGAAUUGAUGCUUUUGAACUGUGGUGUUGGAGAAGACUCUUGAGAGUCCCUUGGACUGCAAGGAGAUCCAACCAGUCCAUUCUAAAGGAGAUCAGAAGGGUGUUCUUUGAAAGGACUGAUGCUGAAGCUGAAACUCCAAUACUUUGGCCACCUAUUGUGAAGAGUUGACUCGUUGGAAAAGACCCUGAUGCUGGGAAAGAUUGAGGUCAGGAGGAGAAGGGGACGACAGAGGAUGAGAUGGCUGGAUGGCAUCACCAACUCAAUCGACGUGAGUUUGAGUGAACUCCGGGAGUUAGUGAUGGACAGGGAGGCCUGGUGUGCUGCGAUUCAUGGGGUCGCAAAGAGUUGGACGCGACUGAGCAACUGAACUGAACUGAACUGGACUGAACGCUUUACUUGGUCAUUUAAGUGUAUGGUGGCUGGUGUUUGUGGAUUUAUUCAUUUUGGAGAUGCUCUGUUUGCUUUUUUGCUAAUUCUAAUUCAGAGUUAUGAAUCCUGCUUUCAUUUUCUUCUCUGUUACUUUGUGCUUGCAACUUCUUUCUGAUUUUCCUAGGUAUGAAAAAGAGAAAUCUUGAGAUACGCAUCAAAACAACACCAAACAGAAACACAGUUGUGCAAAGCAGAGAGGCCUCAUUAAACUUGUGUUUUUUUUAAGUUACUUAAAAAUCAAGAAUGACCUUAUAAAUAAUUAUAAAUAUAAUAAAAGAUAUAAUAAUAAAUCUAAUAAAAGAAUG